rnacentral:rRNA from 1 species
UACGAAGGGGGCUAGCGUUGCUCGGAAUCACUGGGCGUAAAGGGCGCGUAGGCGGCCGAUUAAGUCGGGGGUGAAAGCCUGUGGCUCAACCACAGAAUUGCCUUCGAUACUGGUUGGCUUGAGACCGGAAGAGGACAGCGGAACUGCGAGUGUAGAGGUGAAAUUCGUAGAUAGUUCGCAAGAACACCAGUGGCGAAGGCGGCUGUCUGGUCCGGUUCUGACGCUGAGGCACGAAAGCGUGGGGAGCAAACAGG